AACGAACACUGGCGGCGUGGAUUAGGCAUGCAAGUCGAGCGGGAUCCUGAUGUUUCAAUUCUUCGGAAAAGAAACAUUGGGUGAGAGCGGCGAACGGGUGAGUAAUAUAUGGGUAAUUUGCCUUAAAGCCCGGGAUAGCCACUCGAAAGGGUGGGUAAUACCGGAUGUGCUCGGGUGCCACAUGGCACCUUAUGUGAAGGCGGGGAUCUUCGGACCUGCCACUUUAAGAUGAGCCCAUAUCCUAUCAGCUAGUUGGUAAGGUAAUGGCUUACCAAGGCUUACGGGUAGCUGGUCUGAGAGGACGACCAGCCACACUGGGACUGAGACACUGCCCAGACUCCUACGGGAGGCUGCAGUCGAGAAUAUUUGUCAAUGUACGAAAGUAUGAACAUGCGACGCCGCGUGGAGGACGAAGGCCUUCGGGUUGUAAACUCCUGUCAUGAGGGAAUAAGUGUGUGUCGGCUAAUACCCGGCGCACUUGACAGUACCUCAGAGA
rnacentral:rRNA from 1 species